rnacentral:rRNA from 1 species
CAGCCGCCGCGGUAAUACGUAGGGUGCGAGCGUUAAUCGGAUUUACUGGGCGUAAAGCGUGCGCAGGCGGCCCGUUAAGACAGGUGUGAAAUCCCUGGGCUCAACCUAGGAAUUGCGCUUGUGACUGGCGGGCUCGAGUACGGUAGAGGGGGGUGGAAUUCCUGGUGUAGCAGUGAAAUGCGUAGAGAUCAGGAGGAACACCGAUGGCGAAGGCAGCCCCCUGGGCCUGUACUGACGCUCAUGCACGAAAGCGGGGGGAGCAAACAGGAUUAGAUACCCUGGUAGUCCACGCCCUAAACGAUGGGUACUAGCCGGUUGGUGCGCGAUAGCGCUGAGUGGCGAAGCUAACGCGAGAAGUACCCCGCCUGGGGAGUACGGCCGCAAGGUUGAAACUUAAAGGAAUUGGCGGG